CAAGAAUCUAGAGUCGGCGGUGAUGAUCAAUUCCAAUAAGGAAAGUCUACGAAUGCAAUGGCCACAAUGCAGGUGCCGUUAUAAACCAAAGCCAAUGCACAAGAAUUGCGCUCAUGAUCAACUUCCAGCUCAAUCAUGAUGAUGAUGAAAAGCUAGCGCGGAAAUGCCACAGAAAAUUGCUUAAUGAACCGUUUCUCAUCUGCUCCAAAUGGCAAUGGCAAUGUGGCUACUACUACCAUACGUAUGCUUCACCCAACCAACAACCAGUCCAAUAGAUCAGUCCAAAACCCAGUUUCGAGUGCAGGUUCAAUGCCAUUAGGAAUUGAAUAGCAACUGCUACUGGAAAACAACAUACAAACAUACAAACAUCUCCCUGACGAUUCUUCAUCUCACAUAAAAGUGGUUAAAUAUGCGGCUGCUGUUGCACUUCAAAUUGCACUGAAGAUUGGGCAUGGGAUGGGAUGGUAGUGAAUGGAAGUCGUCUCGAUGACUGUCGAUGAUGGGCGAAGUUUAAUGGAUGGAGAAAAGAAAAGUUUAAGAUGAGAUUGCAUUCAAAUUGGAUGCAGAUGACCAGGUAAAACGAAUGCAAAGCAAAAAUCGUGGAAAUAUGGAGA